UCUGGAGGAGGAGGAGGAGGAUGACAGGCCGUACGACCCUGAGGAAGAGUACAACCCUGAUCGAGCCUUUCAUACCCUGCUUGCUGAACCAGGGAGGCCUCAUGAUGUGCCAAGUGUUCCUGAGACAGCUGAGAGGGAAGAGGUGGCCUAUGACCCAGAAGAUGAGACCAUCUUAGAAGAAGCCAAAGUGACCAUUGAUGACUUGCCCAAUCGCAUGUGUGUGAAAGUCAGCUCCACAGAAAGGCCUGCCGACUUCUCCACCGAUGCCUCCAGUGCCUCUCUGGUAGAGCAGCAAAAGAUGUUAGAAGAGCUAAAUAAGCAGAUUGAGGAGCAGAAGAGGCAGCUGGAGGAGCAGGAAGAAGCCCUUCGACAGCAGAGGGCUGCUGUAGGUGUGUCCAUGGCACACUUCUCUGUUUCAGAUGCACUGAUGUCACCACCUCCCAAGUCUUCCUUGGGCAAGACAGAGCUGUUCUCUCAAGAACAGCAAGCCCU
rnacentral:lncRNA from 1 species